rnacentral:rRNA from 1 species
GAAUAUUGGUCAAUGGGCGGGAGCCUGAACCAGCCAAGCCGCGUGAAGGAGGAAGGCGCCAUGCGUCGUAAACUUCUUUUGUCGGGGAACAAAGGGCGCCACGCGUGGCGUUGUGAGUGUACCCGAAGAAAAAGCAUCGGCUAACUCCGUGCCAGCAGCCGCGGUAAUACGGAGGAUGCGAGCGUUAUCCGGAUUUAUUGGGUUUAAAGGGUGCGUAGGCUGUGAGGUAAGUCAGCGGUGAAAUGCCCCCGCUCAACGGGGUGAAGUGCCAUUGAUACUGCCUUGCUGGAAUGCGGAUGCCGUGGGAGGAAUGUGAGGUGUAGCGGUGAAAUGCAUAGAUAUCACACAGAACACCGAUUGCGAAGGCAUCUCACGAAUCCGCGAUUGACGCUGAUGCACGAAAGCGUGGGUAUCAAACAG